AAUGGCCCAGUGGUUAGGGCAGCGGACUCACGGUCGUAGGAUCGCGGUUUCGAUUCCCAGACCGGGCGUUGUGAGUGUUUAUUGAGCGAAAACACCUAAAGCUCCACGAGGCUCCGGCAGUGGAUGGUGGUGAUCCCUGCUGUAGUCUUUCACCACAACUUUCUCUCACUCAGCCUAUUGUAUCUGUAUUUCAAAGGGCCGGCCUUGUCACUCUCUGUGUCACGCUGAAUAUCCCCGAGAAUUACGUUAAGGGUACACGUGUCUGUGGAGUGCUCAGCCACUUACACGUUAAUUUCACGAGCAGGCUGUUCCGUUGAUCGGAUCAACCGGAACCCUCGUCGUCGUAACCGACGGAGUGCUUCCAAACACGGAGAGGACAGACAAACGGAUUAAGUCGAUUACAUCGACCCCAGUGCAUAACUGGUACUUAAUUUAUCGACCCCGAAAGGAUGAAAGGCAAAGUCAUCCUCGGCGGAAUUUGAACUCAGAACGUAGCGGCAGACGAAGUACGGCUACGCAUUUCGCCCGGCGCGCUAACGAUUCUGCCAGCUCGACGCCUUUAUACACAUAUCGGCGCGACCUCACUCUCCCGCGAACAGCUGGACUCCUUCCUCUCCUUGGUCCAAUCCUUCCAUCCUACGCUCGAACUCUCCUACACUAUCUCUAACUCCUCCGUCGCUAUGUUCUGAGUUCAAAUUCCGCUGAGGUCGACUUUACUUUUUCUCCUUUUCGGGGUCGAUAAAUUAAGUACCUGUGAAAUACUUGGGUCGAUGUAAUCAACUAGUUCCCUCCCCACAAAUCUGAGGCCUUGUGCCUUCAGCAGAAACGAUUAUUAAUACUAUAUAUAUAUAUCACCGUGACCGACCAGGCUUUCAGAUGUUGCUACACAUCGCUGGUCACAAUGCGCUUAGCAUUGUUUUAGCCUUCAAAUGACGCCACCCCGCUGGCUAAGCGAGCAAGCCAACAGAAGAAAGUGUGAGAGAAAGUUGUGGCGAAAGAGUACAGCAGGGAUCGCUACCACCCACUGCCGGAGCCUCGUGGAGCUUUAGAUGUUUUCGCUCAAUCCUACGACCGCGAGUCCGCUGCCCUAACCACUGGGCCAUUGCGCCUCCACUUAUAUAUAUAUGUGUGUGUGUGUGUGUGUGUGUGUGUGUGUGUGUGUGUGUGUGUGUGUGUUUGUAUACGUAUAUAUUUAGAGCGGUGCAUUGCAAGUUAUGAUAUUGGUUUCAAAUUUUGACCAGUAACUUUGGGGAGAGGGUGAAUCGAUUACAUCGACCCCAGUGCUCAACUGGUACUUACUUUAUCAACCCUGAAAGGAUGAAAGGUAAAAGUCGACCUCAGCGGUAUUUGAACUUAGAACGUAAAGACGGACGAAAUGCCGCUAAGCAUUUAACGUGGCGCGAUAACGACACCGCAGCUCGCCGUCCUGCACAAGUUAUGAUAUUAGCCUUAGUUUUUUUAUGUCUACAGCAUACUGGGUGAUGAUUUUAGUUGAGUUUUUUUUUACGUUCUGACUUCUGAUCUCAAAAUUUCGUCGGGCAUGACUUCAUCUUUCAACAAUCAGGGAUGGACACUGAUUAAAAAAAAAGCGUCAAAUACUGAAUUUGAUACACAUCGGCACAGGAGUGGCUGGGUGGUAAGUAGCUUGUUUACCAACCACAUGGUUCCGGGUUCAGUCCCACUGCGUGGCACCUUGGGCAACUGUCUUCUACUAUAGCCUCGGGCCGACCAAAGCCUUGUGAGUGGAUUUGGUAGACGGAAACUGAAAGAAUCCCGUCGUAUAUAUAUAUAUAUAUAUAUAUAUAUAUAUAUAUAUAUAUAUAUAUAUAUGCGUGUGUGUGUUUGUCUGUGUUUGUCCCCCUAGCAUUGCUUGACAACCGAUGCUGGUGUGUUUAUGUCCCCGUUACUUAGCGGUUCGGCAAAAGAGACCGAUAGAAUAAGUACUGGGCUUACAAAGAAUAAGUCCUGGGGUCGAGUUGCUCGAUUAAAGGCGGUGCUCCAGCAUGGCCGCAGUCAAAUGACUGAAACAAGUAAAAGAGUAAAAGAGUAAAAGAGUAUGUACACGCGUAAUUCUCAUUAAUUUUCUCACCUUGUGUCUGUGCAAGAAAUCGGUGGACGGACAAAAGAUAAAACAAAAAAAUACUUUGUGGUAUUUCUUCAUGCCAGUGGUUCCCCACCGGGGUCCAUGUGACCCUUGGGGGUCCACAUACGAUUUUGUAACUAAAGUUUACGUGCAAUAAAUUCGUUAUACUUCUACACUACACAAAAUAUUUUGAUUUUUAACAAAAAUACAAUUACUAAUAAUAUUUGUGGAUGCACAUGGCCUAGUGGUUAGAGCAGCGGACUCGCGGUCGAGGGAUUUCAGGUUCGAAUCUCAAACCGGGCGAUGUGUGUGUUUAUGAGCGAAACACCUAAGCCCCACGUGGCUCCGGCAGAAGGUAAUAAUGAACUUCUGCUGACUCUUUUGCCACAACUUUCUCUCACUCUCUCCUCCGGCAUCUAGCAGCUCUCCUGCGAUGGAGCAGCGUCCCAUCCAUGCGGGAAACCUAUACGCCAAUGAAACCGGGAAACCGGCCCUUAUGAGCCAGGCAUGGCUCGAGAAGGAACUAACAACAACAAUAAUAUCUAAUUAUCAAAAAUAUAAUUGGAUCUUUUGAACAUCGAAUGGUCAGGAGGGUCAAAUCAAAGGGGUCUAUCCGAGUGAAACAGGAAUCAAGUGGGGUCCGUAGGUUAAAAAAUGGUUGAGAAACUCUGGUUUGUGUCAACCUUUAUGUUCUGUGUUCAAACCACGUUGGAUCUAAUUUUGCCACUUCUCGUUUCGUGUAAGAUAAAAUAAAUACCAGGAUCCAGAACAUGUUAGCCAACUAUAUUCCCGACACAGAAUUUCAAGGGAUGAUGGCUAUACUAAGAAACCAUUAUUCCUAUUAAUAAUUAAUUCAUUCAUUGUAAUUUAUUUUCUGUUUUAAAAAUAUUUGCUUUAAUUAAUUGCGGUUAUUUGUUUUAUGUGUCACAAUGAUGCGACAUCUAUCAACUUCUGUAGUUUAAUAUUUUUACCAUUAAGGGUUUCCCGCCCUUCCAGCAAUAUAUCGUCUGCAAUCCUUACAAUUACAGUCAACGUUGUUUUCGAAUGCCAAAUUCUGUGGGAUGUUUUAACUGAGGCUAGGGUUUAGUAAAAGAAAUGACCCCACUACUUUUUUUUUCUUUUUCUGAAGUUUGGUGUUUAUUCAAUCAGACACGUUUGCCGAACCGCCAAGUUACGGAAAUGCAAGCAAACCAGCACCGGUUGUCAAACGGUGUAUGUGUGUGUGGAGGGCGGGGUGUGGAUACACACAAACACAAAACCCAGUACACACGUACACAUAUGCAUACACACACACACACACGCACACAGACUUUUUUCCAGUUUUUCUGUUUAUCAAAUAAACUCCUAAGGCUUUGGUCAGCGUAGAAGAUACCACGCAAUAGGGCUAUACCUGGUAUUUAUGUAUAUGCAGAUAGAUAGAUAGAUAGAUUGAUUGAUUGAUUGAUAGAUAGAUAGAUAAAUAGAUAGAUAGAUAGACAGAUAGAUAGAUAGAUAGAUAGAUAGAUAGAUAGAUAGAUAGAUAGAUAGAUAGAUAGAUAGAUAGAUAGAUAGAUGAGCAUAUAUAUUUAUAUAUGUAUAAAUAUAUAUAUAUACACAUACUGUAUAAACGCAUGCACACAUAUCUAUAAAAAACACACACACACACAUUCUUUCCGUAACAUAAGGAAUUCCAUAUGCAAUUUUGCAAAUGGAAAAAAAAGAAACAAGGAAAAAAACUAAAAGCAAAAUAACAAGAAAAAAAAACUCGGUUAUCAUCAGAGAAACGGAUGAAUCAAGAUUAGUUUUGAAAACCAAAAUUGCGUUAAGGAAUGUUGAGGAAUUCUCUACAAAGUUCUACGUGAAAGUAAUUGACCAACAGAACGUUUCCAAGAAUGUCACCACAGAAAAAUGAAAUACCGAUAGAGUGAUAGACAAAUUAUAUGUAUAUAUAUGUAUCGUAGACAUUCCUGACUUGUGACAGACGACAUUCAUUGAUGGCUGAGAUAAACAGUAAACCGAAUGAAAUCGGAAAUUUUUCUGAGGUUUAAUUAAAAGCAUAAUGCUUAUGUAAUCUAGGAUUAGUACCAGUUAGAUAAUGAGGUUCAUCUCUAUAUUUUUAAUGGACUUUUCUUGUCUUGCCGUUUUCAUUGAGUUUAGUCAGUUUUAUCGAUCUCUGGUGUAUUUUGUCCUGGUACAUGUUUUGCUAUGGCUACAACUUAGUGUCUCGCAUAAAUUUGUUUCCUCAUAACAUUCUUAAUUAUAUCUUCUUUUAUUCUUUUACAUGUUUCAGACAAUUUGUCCGCGGCCAUGCUGGGGUACAACCUUGAAAAGUUUAGUCGAACAAAUCGAUCCCAGGACUUACUUUUAAUCCUGAUACUUAAUUUAUCGGUCUCUUCUUUGUAUUUACUCUAUCGGUCAGUAUUUUCAUAAUAGAGACACACACAAACAAAUGGAUAGAUAGAUAGAUAGAUAGACAGACAGACAGACAGACAGACAGACAGACAGACAGACAGACAGACAGACAGACAGACAGAGGUCGCGAGCCGGCAGAAUCGUUAGCACGCCGGACAAAAUACUUAUCGGCUUUUCGUCUCGCUUUUUGCUGAGUUCAAAUGUUGUCGAGGUCGACUUUCCCUUCCAUCUUUCCAGGAUCAUUAAAAUAAAUACCAUUUGAGCACUGGAGUCGAUGUAAUCGACUGGCCCUGCCCCAAAAUUUCAGGUUUUGUGCCUAUAAUAGAUGUGUGUAGGGUGGGAAUUUUUUUUUAAUGAAAUUUUCAACGAAUACUCUUCAGAUGGUGUAGAUAUCGAUUAUAACGGAAUUCGUUGUGAAAAAUAUUUUCCGAGUUUGAGAAGAGGAGUUUCGGAAAAUUCACACGAUUCGGUUUUGUCCCUCAUAACUUUCGGAAAAAUGGAUAUUUUUUUAAUGAAAUUUUCUACAAAUAUCUUUCAGGGGUGAACAUUACGAUUGCAUCGGAAUUUAAUAUGAAAAACAAAAAAACCUUGUUGACUCUCGCACGCAUUGUUUACUGACACACAUCACAUGUAUAUCUACAAAAUGAAACUUGAAAUCUCUCUAUAUAUAAAGCUGAAGUUGUCUGUGUGUGGUAGGUUUGGUAGCCUUCAACUAACACUAUCUCCUCCAAGACCCUGCGGCGCAAGUUGACCAAAACUGAGAGUAUGAUAGAAGAAGGCUUGCUCUUCCUUCCGUAGAAGAAAAAAUUCAAAUCGGACAUGUUAAGACCAAAAAUUAUUUACAUCAAUUGGGUGCUUUUUUUCUAUGAAAAUCCCUAUUUUUUAAGGAUUUUUUGACUGCUGUGUCGCCAUUUUUCGGUGUAUUUCAACCAGAAUAAUGUUCACUUAAAGAGAAUAACAAACUACAUAAGGCAAAAUUUUUACUUUUCAAAAAUUCCAAUUCUAAAGGGUCGAAACAAACCCGAGCAACGCCGGGCGAUACUGCUAAGUUACAAAUAAAAUUGUGUUGUGUGUCAGUAUGUGCAGGCCCACAAAUUAUUUUUUCAUAUCAAAUUCCGAUAUAAUCGUAAUUUAUACACACUCCGAAAGGAAUUUGUAGAAAAUUUCAUAAAAAAGAUAUGCAUUUUUCCGAAAGUUAUGGGGGACUAAACCGAAUCGUGUGAAUUUUCCGAAACUCCUCUCCUCACCCUCGGAAAAAAAAAUUUUAUGACAAAUUCCGAUGUAAUCGGAAUCUAUACCAUCUGAAACGUAUUAUUAGAAAAUUUAAUUAAAAGUUAAACAUUUUUCUGGAAGUUAUGAAGAAACAAAAUCGUGUGGGGUGGGGGCACACUUCUGCAGGUAUACUCUUUUCUCUUUACUCUUUUACUUGUUUCAGUCAUUUGACUGGGGCCAUACUGGAGCACCGCCUUUAGUCGAGCAAAUCGACCCCGGGACUUAUUCUUUUGUAAGCCCAGUACUUAUUCUAUCGGCCCCUUUUGCCGAACCGCUAAGUAACGGGGACGUAAACACACCAGCAUCGGUUGUCAAGCGAUGUUGGGGGGGACAAACACAGACACACAAACAUAUACACACACAUACUUAUAUAUAUAUGUAAACAUAUAUACGACAGGCUUCUUUCAGUUUCCGUCUACCAAAUCCAUUCACAAGGCUUUGGUCGGCCCGAGGCUAUAGCAGAAGACACUUGCCCAAGGUGCCACGCAGUGGGACUGAACCCGGAACCAUGUGGUUGGUAAGCAAGUUACUUACCACACAGCCACUCCUACGCCUAUGCCGGAAUGUCCAGCAAUGCGCAUCCAUGCGUGGAUUACGGGGUCAAUUCGUUCGUUCUUCCGUUUGUUUCAUUCGUUCAUUUAUUCAUUUAAUCUCUCUUUCACCUUAUCCAAUCAUUCUUUCCUUCAUUUGUGUAUUCAUUCAGUCAAUCUUUUAUUUAUUCAAUUAUCUAUUCGGCGAUCUUUCGUCUUUAGUAGACCUUUCCGUCGAUUUCCGUAAAAAAAUUUUUUUCUUUUACAUAUGGGCUUGCGGGAACUUUUGAAGUAAUAUACAUACAUAUACACAUACACCGAGUAAAAAAUUUCAAUUAUCUCUUUCUUUCACACAUUACUCUGUCUCUCUUCACACACUAACAGAAGCACUUCACUUACACAACAUACUGUCUGUCUCCCACACCCCAUCAAACACACACACACACACACAUGUACAUCAAUGCUUCCCAUGCACGGUAACUUCAAAAGAACUUCCCUCGUCAUACAAUCGCUUUCUCUUAGUGUCUUUCGCUCUCAUUACUUCAAAAGUUCCCGCAAGCCCAUAUGUAAAAAAAAAAUUUUUUUUACGGAAAUCGACGGAAAGGUCUACUAGAGACGAAAGAUUGCCAUCUAUUCAUUUAUUCCGUCUUUCAUUCUUCUUUUCAUUCUUUCAUACUAACGUACAUAAUAAUAAUAAAAAAAGUUUACAUAACUUACACACACAUACUCGUGUGUGUGUGUGUUUUUUUCUGUCUGUGAAUCCACCACACAAUAUAUUUCUGUACACGUUAAGUAUGUAUCUGUUGAUCUAUUUCAUAGUAUUAAAAACAUUCCAACCAUGAAGCCAUUCUCGUAAUCAGAUUACACACAUACACACACACACGCAUAUGUAGGUAUGUGUGUAUACAUACACACCCACAUACACAGAGGUAUAUAUACAUAUAUAAUAUAUAUGUAAACGUAUAUAUAACAAUGAUGAUAUAUAUAUAUAUAUACACAUAUACACAUAUACAUACAAACACACACACAUACACACACAUACAUACAUACAUACAUACAUACAUACAUACAUACAUACAUACAUACAUACAUAUAUAUAUAUAUAUAAUAUAUAUAAAAAUACAAAAUGGGACAAGAACGCAAAACAUUCAAAUAGACGACACAAAAAACGGACGGGUCAUUCGAAGCCUCUAAUCUUCAGUCAAGAACCGGAUCAUCCUCGCAAUUUCGGCUGAUUACAUACAUACAUACAUACAUACAUACAUACGCACAUACAUACACACAUACAUACAUACACACAUACAUACACACACACACACAUACAUACAUACAUACAUACAUACAUACAUACAUACAUACAUACAUACAUACAUACAUACAUACAUACAUACAUACAUACAUACAAGGUGCAGUGAAUAAACUUCUGCCAAAUAUUUAUGAAAAUAUACAUGCUCAUAUAUUUUAGUUCUAUUUUUCCUUUUGCAUCAACACACACACACACACACACACACACACACACACACACACACACACACACACACAAACACAUGUAUGUGUAUAUGCACGAGAUGCAUUCUAAAAGUAUCCGAUUUUAGUUUUCGCGCCGAAAUUAACGUCGCUCGGACAAAAUAUUUUGGGUGGAAGAUGAUGUCCUCUUCCUGCGCAAGCGAAGAAAAACUUUCGCGCCGGUAGGCUGCGUCAGUUCCCGGCUUUUACGCCUGGAACACAGACGUGUAGGGAACGCCUCUCGUAUAAGAAUAAGGAUUCAUAUGUGUAUGUGUGUGUGUAUAAGAAUAGGGAUUCAAAGAGUGGAGCUUUUCGGUUUGAACGGCAGUUUUUUAAAAUAAGUUCCACGUAACUAAACACUUUUAAACUUCGUAUACUGGUAGAAUGUGUUUAUAAAAGGUCUUUUUAUCUUGGCUUUAUUGAGAAAAUUCUAUGGUAUGUAAGAUAUUUGUUGUUGUUUUUCUUCAAUUUCUGCAAUUUCAACCAAUCAAUGACGUCUAUUGAGGUGAAAACAUUCUGUGCCGUAUGAAUAUGUCCCUCGUUUAAGAAACAGAUUGGGUUUAUUUACAUUUCUGAAGAAAAAAAGAUACCCUUCCCCCACCCCUAACCCUAACCCUAAUCCUAAAACAGAUUGAAAUGCAAUAGAUCGAUACUAGGGUCAUAAUUAUGGGUGACAAUUUCAUAUGACACCGCUAGAAAAAACUGCUGUUCAAACCGAAAAGAUCCCAAAGAGUUAGUCACAGCUUACAGGGUAAGUUCCCCGCCCUGUAUCUAUUUAUCGAGAAAGACGCUGGUUAAGGCUAGGAUGUAACCUCUCCGUCGUUCUGAAAGUCCAGGAAUUACAAUGGUGGAGAGUAUGGUCCAAAAAUUGAGCAGAUAAGCAGAGUGACAUGAGAGAAUAAAUGUUCAUUUUGUUAGUUGACAGCUGUUUCGUAAUAUGUAGUAUGUGUGUGUGUGUGUGUGUGAGCGCGCGCGUGUGUGAGUCACCCAUUGCUUGACAACCGGUGUCAAGCACGUGGGGUGCUGAAAAGUUCCUGGCUUUGGGUAAAAGGAAAUGCAGGUGGAUCCGUUAAUUAUGUUUUUAUUCGACUUACUGCAACGGUCCUUCAGUUUUUCUGAGCCCUGUAAAAGAACGCGGAAGCUCUUUCACGAUAUCUAUCUCAGCACCCCUUCGUAUAUUUUAAAUCUGGUACAUAUUCUGUCGUUCUCUUUUGCCGAACCGCUAAGUUUUGAGAACGUAAACAAACUAACACCAGUCCAGCAGUGGUGUGGGGCAAACACAAGGAACACACACACACACACACACACACACACUCACACACUUAUACGACGAUCUUCCACACAGUUUCCAUCGACGAAAUUCACUCGCAAGUGAUUGGUCAAUCCUGGGUUAUAGCAGAAGAAACUUAACCAAGGUGCUGCACGGUGGGACUGAACCCGAAACCACGUGGUUACCAAGCGAGCUUCUUAACCAGAUGGCCAUGCCUGCGCCUACAAAAAAAAAAUAGCAUCAAGGAACGAUUCCGUCUUGUUGUCGAAUAAAGAAGACAGAAGUGGUGAAGAGGGAAUUUUUAAGGAACCUUCGAAACAACCGAGAAGAUCUCAGUAGCGGAUGCAGCGAUGUUGCCCUAGUUGCCCGGGCAACACCCUUUCUAGCCGAGCCGACACGAAAAAAAUCGGGACCAAGGUUUAUUCCCACUAGUCUCACAGCAUCACUGUUUCAUAUGCACGUUGUCUGCUACGACAAAGUUAGAAUACAUAAAAACGUAUCCAUUUGUUACGAAUUGCGAUUUUUCGAAACUUCUGGACAACAUCCCCAACAAAAAUCCUGGACCCAACCCGCUUUGUCGGUCACAGGAAGCUAAGUGAACAUGUCGGUCGCGUCAGGCAAAGCUUUCAGUGACCGAAUUAGAAAAUUUAGUCGGUAGUUGACGAGAACGAUGUCAAUGACCUAUGGUGGGGCAACUGGAGAAUGCGAUUAGAAUAGAAUCGAUGAGAUCAGCAAAAAAAAAUUUUCUCAUAAAGAAAAUAAUUGAUGGGUGAUCUAGUGUGUCAAAUUAGAAUAGGCGAUUAGGAAAGGUUUUGCGAUUGACCUGCACGCGGUGAAUAUUGCCUUCUAUUUUCUUCAAGGCGAAACGUGAACGUUGCCUUGUCAGAGUUAGGGCAGAACGAGCUCUAAAGCAGAAAGGGAUAAAAUCCGUUCGAUAGGAUUAAGGGG
rnacentral:lncRNA from 1 species